CCCUACAGAGAAAGCUGGCUCCCAUAUCAGGCCCUCUGGCUUCUGCCAAGGAUCUGGGGGUAGGUGUUGGUGUCCCAGACACAUCCAUUCUGACACAGAGGGAGGUACAGUGCAGUCAUGCUGUUGGCCCAGGUGCACAGCACAUGGGCAGUAGCAGGGAGGGGCAGGCUCCAGUGCAGGCUUGCCACCUACCCCCACCCUGGUCCAUUCAUGAGGAAUGACUUUCCUCUGGGGAGGGGCCCUGUGGGGGUGGCAGGCAGAGCAGGGCCCUCUCCUGAGGGCUCCCUCUGCCCCCAGGCUCAGAGCGGGACCACCCUAGGGAAAUGUUCAUCUCUCCUGCGGUCUUGUCGGAACCCCUUCAAGGUCAUCGCUCCACAGCACUCCAAGUGCUUCCUCGUAUCCAGCCUUAGUCAGUCCUCAUGUUGCACUUGAUUCAUUUAUCAGAGGACAAGUUGAGGGCCCCAUUAUCCUGCCACCCAGUGUGACAUCACCGAGCUUCCCUCGGGCAUGUUCCCUCCCUGGGACUGCCCAGCCGGCACAGGAAAUGGCUGCUGGAUGAAUGUGCAAGUGAGUAAGUGUCUUGGAUCCUCCUCCCAUGGGAACACUAAGCGGCUAAGGAGUGGACCAGCUCCCCGGGGUCCAGGCUGAAACGGAGGCAGAAACAGGGACCAAGGAGGCAAACAGGCUCAAGAGAGCAACAGGACUGGGGACAGAGAUAAAGCAGGUGCACCCCCAGAGAGCCAAGUGUCCAAGAGCUCAGGACGGCUGCGCUGAGGGCCUCAGCCACAGAUGGCCUGAAGCAAGCAGGGCCCGCUGGGGAGAGCAUGGCAGAAACGGGGUGGGAUAGGAGGAGCUCAGGACACGGGGCCAUGAGAUGGGAGCCCAAAACCCAGGGGUGGGGGACCACAGUCCAGUAAGCGUGGCCCGGCCCAAGGUCACAGAGCAAGGACCCAGGGCCCCAGCCUCUCAGCCAUGACCUGGCCCUCUGUCCCCCAGCAGGGAACCUUAGCCAGGCCCAGUGCUGAGGUAGGAAUUUCUACAGGUAAGGAGGACACAGACGGUCAGAGAGACCACUGGCCCCAGAGUGCACAGGGGCUGCGCAUGAUGGUUGUGACUGCGUUCUGGUGCAGACUAACUGAAGAGCAGAGAUGAGGGAGAGAAGAGAAGGAGAGCCUUGGGCACCCCAACAGAGCAAGUCCCAGGCUGAGCCGCCCUCACCCUCUCGGCCCUACCUACCUACCUUCCACCUGGAUCCAGCUCAGUGCUGAUCACACAGUUUGCUGAAGGGAUAGAGCUGGGGAAUGUCAGAAAUGGGGAAACUGAGUCAGCUUCCAGGCCUCUUAAGUCCUUGACUGGGGCUCACCUGAUCCAGCCAGAGGCAAGGGAGACCUAAGCCACUCUGGAGCCUCCAUUUCCUGAUCUGUAACUCGGGGCUUGUUGUCCACUGGGGCCUCACUUCCCCAGACUGUGGCCCCCAUCCUUCUCCAGACCUCCUCCCUGCUCUAGCCCAGGGCCUCGCUUAGACCCCCACCCCCAGGGGAGCCUUGACAGAGGCCCAUGCCCACCCUUCCUUGUACACGCCUGAGCACGGCUGAUUCCUCCCUGUGAGCCCAGGCCAAUAAUGUGCUCUUCAUGCCACAAAGCUGAAAAGCACUCAGGAACCAGGUGCAAUCGGCCUAAGGGACCUGUCCAAGGCCACCCAGCCCUUAAGAAGCAAAGAAGGGCUGACCUGUCACUACCCACUGAUAUCUCAGGACCUGCAGGGGCAGGGUUAAAUGCACAUUCCCCUCUCACCCACACGGCAGCAAGAGAAAGAGUUAGGGUCCUGGGGGCUGCAAUCUGGGCAAUGCCUAAGCAGACAGCCUCAGACAAUGAAGGGCGAGUCAGGACUCAGUUGUGUCAACUUGGUAUAUACAACCUCUCCAAGCCUUGAUUUCAGCAGAAGCCCACAGAGAAAGCCCUGAUGCCUCUGCCUGCCAGUGCCUAAGGGCUGGGGAAAUGCCACCUGCCCCAGCUUCAUCCAGAAACUGUGGCUGCUCCCUCCCAUCUGCGGGGCACCUUGAUUAGUCUAAGUGGCCAGCAGACCCCAAGCAGAACCAGGCCAGUGCCUCACACAGAGCAGGCACUAGGAUGCCUGUCGACAGCACUCCUUCCCCUCCUUCCCAGGCCCCAAGCCCUUAUCGGACACGACUCAUUUUAAAGAAAAAAUAAUAUUUAUUUGCAAUAUAAACAAA